rnacentral:tRNA from 1 species
GAGAGAGGCUCGCAGCACCAAAAACUGCUAAUUUUCGCGACCUAGGUUGGACUCCUAGGCUCACUCG